ensembl:lncRNA
GGGGGUGGGUGAGGGGGCUUGGCUGAGUUGGGGCUUGCUGUACUGUAGUUGGCAGGCUGAGGGGGGGUUGGGUGAGGGGCUGUGCUGUAGUGUAGCUGGCUGGAGUAACUGAUUAACACUAUAGGGCCAAACUGGGCCGAACUGAACUGGGCUGGUUAUUCUUUCACCAUAGUAGCUGGAACCGUGCUGGAAAGGACAAUGUGUAAAUAAAAUAUCUGAGUCAGUACAGUACAGGUCAGCCCUAUCGUUCAGAUCAGGCAGAGGAAGAUAUAGGCUAGGAAGGUCUUCAUGGUUUCAGGGAAGAUAUAGGCUAGGAAGGUCUUCAUGGUUUCAGGGAAGAUAUAGGCUAGGAAGGUCUUCAUGGUUUCAGGGAAGAGGCUACAGUAAAUCUAUAUGAGCCCAGUGAAGAGGCACCUUGCCGGGCACGUUGGCUGUUCGGCCGGUCCCUCUCCUGGGAGAAAACUGGUCCUCUUCAACCACACAUGGUCAUAUACAGCCACUGAAUACAUACAGAAAGAAAAGAGAAAGAGAGAGGCCAAUGGACAGAGAGGAGAGAAAGAGAGGCCAAUGGACAGAGAGGAGAGAAAGAGAGGCCAAUGGACAGA